UUUAAAAAGCGUUUUUCCUUAUUAGACCCUUCCGUCAGUGGAACCGCACGAGUGGCUUAAGUUAGCGUUACUACGUUACCAGUCACUGCUAUUAAAAGCAGACGAUUGUCUUUCUUACGGGAGGGGCGGGGAAAUCGCUAUCUUUGGUGUUACGGGCUCUCCCUAUGCUAUGUAACGUUAAUGAGGAUUCUUGAAGUAGCUUUUCUCUGAUAUUCAAACUUCUCUGGCGUUGGUCGAUGCACCGUCCUUGCGCGACGCAAAACAUGGAAAUUAACUUAAGGGUUUUAUAGCGCAGCGGUGCCGUUGUCGCGGUGUGAGCGCAGCGCACAUUGCAUCCUAUCUGUAAGCCUAGGUGAGCUUGUCCCGCAGUUGUCGCUAGCAUCAGGGCUAUCACACUCACAUUUUGUCAGUUGCUGGUUAGCAAAACACGGGAGCUUAGCUUAGGUCUCAAGUGUACGUCAUUCACUGACUGUGGGAUAAUGAUGUGGACACCUACAAACAAAGCUAGACAACAAAGAACCAUGCCAGAAAAUAAUCCGCUUUCUCUAUGAGGCUGUGGCACAAUACACAAUGUAUCCCACAACUUCCGAAUAUGUUCAAGUUGUAAAAAUGCUGAUUGUGAAAUAUCCUUUCCUGAAGGAUCUCAAGGGAAAUGGUUAUCAUACAUGGCACAUGUCUCUGAGGCGUAAAUUCUAGUGGAAGCGUGCACCUCUUGUUGACAACAGUGAACUGAGAGGUAGUAAGGAGAAGUUUGGCCACAAAAAAUCAAAGCAACUUGUAUAAACAGCAAGGACCAAUCAGAGAAAUGUGUUCAAGGCACCAAGUGUUGUGGGUGAGGAUCCAUCCUCCAUUGAGGCUCACGUGAAGGUCUUGCAUAGCCAGUACCAGAAGAUGCAACCUGACUUCAGGAUUUUACGGGACCAAAUGCAGUAGAUGUUUGCAUGGCGGCAAAAGGAGAUUGCUGAUGGCAUGACUGUAGAGGACACAUUGCGUGAUGUGUUGGAACGUAUCCAUCCAGCAACAGGGAACUUGUGUCAGCGAUUCAAUGAAGGCUUCAAAUGUAUUGUACCAAAGGUGCUUCACCUAGCUCAAGGGAAAUCCCCACUAUUCCACUUUACCUGGAGACAAAAGAAGAAGCUCUCACUGAGGAUCUUCCAGAUAUUGACUUUAGGGCACCCCUCAUCUUUCUACCUUACAUCUUCAAGGACUACAGUGAUUGCUUUAUUACACUUGGAGAGGUAUGUCUUGCUUGCUCAGAUCUCUUUUGUUCACCUCCAUAACACCAAAUACACUUGACAAACGUACUGAUACUGAGAAAGAAAAUCACAUUGUUAAUACUACAUAUCUCUACUUAAAGGAAUACUUAAUCCACUUUUAAAUGUUUCAUUUCUUUUAAGUGGUAUGUAAAGUGGUAAUGAAGCUGAUCACCUCAUCAUAGUUGCUACGCUGAAGACUUGGAUGGUCCUAUUGCUUUUUGUCUUCCACCAUUGUUAACUUACUUUAGAAUCAUUAGUUCUUGCUUAAAUCCAGUUUAAACAGCAAUUCAUAUCUGUUUUUGUGUGAAAGGAAAAGGCAGAAGUUUAUUGAGUACAUAAGCACAAUAAAAAAUAAAAUUUUACUCUAAUUGUGUAAAAUGAACACCCAAAACAAAAUCUAAUUUACUAGCUGUCUGCACAGCACAUCAGAAUAUAUUCACAUUCUAAUUAUAAACUACUAUUUGAGCAUAUAAUGUGUAAAGAAAGAAAGUAGAUGAUGCAUGUGCUUGGCAAUCUGGAGUAUCUACCCAAUAACACAAUGCUAAUUAUUGCUAUUUUAUUUUUUUAUCACUGAACAACAUCACAACAGCCUCACAUUCCUCCUUAAAGAGCAAGUGCAAAAUGUCAGAAUGGAUUAACCUUUUGUUCAUUACUAGAUUUGUGAGGUAUUAAAGAGGUGGUAUUAUGCUU